AGGAGAAGGGCGAACGGUGGAUGCCUUGACACUAGGAGUCGAUGAAGGACGGGACUAACGCGAUAUGCUUCGGGGAGCUGUAAGUAAGCUUGAUCCGAAGAUUAUCGAAUGGGGAAAACCCACCAUACGUAAUUGGUAUGUAUCCUUAUCUGCACUUACAUAGGGUAAGAAGACAGGGACCCAGGAACUGAAACAUCUAAUACCUGGAGGAAGAGAAAGCAAAUGCGAUUAUCCUGAAGUAGCGGCGAGCAAACGGAACAUAGCCCAAACCCAAGGCUUGCCUCUUUGUUGGUAGGACAAUUUCUUAGGGAGUUACUAAGGGAACGAGUAGACGAAGCGGACCUUGGAAAGGUCCGUUCGUUAGAAGGUAACAACCCCGUAGGCGAAACUUCGUUCUUCUUGAAUGUAUCCUGGGUACGGCGGAACACGUGAAAUCCGUCGGAAUCUGGAGGACCAUCUCCCAAGGCUAAAUACUCCCUAGUGAUCGUAGUGAACCAGUACCGUGAGGAAAGGUGAAAAGCAACCCCGGAGGGGAGUGAAGAGAUCCUGAAACCGUGUGCCUACAAAUAGUUCAGAGCCGUUAACGGGUGAUUGGCGUUGGCUUUGUAGAAUGAACCGCGAGUUACGAUCCCGUGGAGGUUAAGCUGAGAGCGGAGCCGCAGCGAAAGCGGAUCUGAAUUAGGGCGUUUUAGUACGUGGUCGUAGACCGAAACCAGGUGAUCUCCCAUGUCGGUUGAAGUUAAGGGUAACACUGAAUGGAGGCCCGACCCACGCACGUUGAAUAGUGCGGGGAUGAGGUGGAGGGUAGCGGAGAAUUCCAUCAACCUGGAGAUAGCUGGGGUUUUUCUCCGAAAUAGCUUUAGGGCUAGCCGUUAAGUGUAAGGGUCUUGCGAGGUAGAGCACUGAUGGACUGGGUCCUCAUCGGAUUACGAAUUCAGUCAAACUCCGAAUGCCAAUUGGACUUAUCCUUAGGAGUCAGGACUGCGAGUUGAUAAGAUCGUUAGUCAAAAAGGAAACAGCCCAGACCCCAGCUAAGGUCCCAAAUGUGUAUUAAAGUGAAAAGGAUGUGGAGUUGCUUAGACAACUAGGAUGUUGGCUUAGAAGCAGCCACCAUUUUAGAGUGCGUAAUAGCUCAACUAGUCGAGUGACUCUGCGCCGAAAAUUGUCACCGGGGCUAAAUAACCACCGAAGCUGCGGGAUGUGAUACCGAAUGGUAGGCAGUGGUAGGGGAGCGUUCUAAGGGACAGUGAAGUCAGACGAAGGACUUGGUGGAGUGCUUAGAAGUGGAAUGCCGGAUAUGAGUAGCGAAAGACGGUGAGAAUCCCUCCCACCGAAUGCCUAAGGUUUCGAGGAAGGCUCGUCGCUCAGGGUUUAGUCAGGACCUAGCCGAGGCCGGACAGGCGUAGGCGAUGGACAACAGGUUGUAUUCCUGUACCACCUCUUUUAUCGUUUAGCAAUGGAGGGACGCAGAAGGAUAGAAGAAGCGUGCGAUUGUUUGUGCACGUCCAAGCAGUUAGGCUGAUAAGGUAGGCAAAUCCGCUUAUCAUAAAGGCUGAGCUUUGUGAUGGGGAAGCUCCUUAUGGAGCGAAGUCUUUGAUUCCCGCUGCCAAGAAAGCUUCUAGCGAGAUAAAAGGUGCCCACCUCUCCCCCCCUGCCCCUGGCCGGCCCCCUCCGCCGGGGCCUGGUACCGCAAACGACACAGGUAGGCGAGGAGAGAAUGUCCUAAGGGGGUGCGAGAGACCUGGUUAAGGAACUCGGCCCAAAAUGACCCCGUAACUUCGGGAGAGGGGUGCUUUUCUUAACGGAAAGCCGCAGUAAUAGGCCCAAGCGACUGUUUUAGCAAAAACACAGCUCUCUGCGAAGCCGUAAGGCGAGUAUAGGGGGUGACACCUGCCCGGCUGCUGGAAGGUUAAGGAGAGGGUUAGCGUAAAAGCGAAGCUCGUGACUGAAAAGCCACAGUAAACGGCGGCCGUAACUAUGAAACGGUUAGGUUAGCGGAAAUUCCUUGUCGGGUAGUUCCGACCCGCCACGAAAGGUGUAACGAUUUGGCACGGGUCUCCAACCAGAGGACUCGGUGAACAUUAUAGACCUGUGAAGAGGGGGGGGGGGGGGGGGGGGGGUAAAGGGGGGGUUGCAGGUUUUACCCGCGCGGGAGGACAGGACGGAAAGACCCCGUGAGCUUGACUGUAGCCUUGUAUUGAAUUUUGCGUACAUUUGUACAGGUAGGCGGGGCCAUGGAAAACCGGAGCGCUAGUCUUCGGUGGAGGCGCUUGGUGGAUACGCCCUGAACUGGUACUUGAAAUUCUACCUUACGGGUCUUAUCGACCCGGGAGACAGUGUCAGUGUUGGGCAGUUUGACUGGGCGGUCGCUUCCUUAAAAAGUGUAAGGAGGCGCCCAAAGGCUUCCCUCAGAAAUUGCGUUUGGAAAUCAUUUCGGAGAGUGCAAAGGCAUAAGGGAGCUUGACUGCGAGGGACCUACAAGUCGAGCAAAGGGACGAAAGGCGGGCUGUAGUGAUCGGUGGUUCCGCAUGGAAGGGCCAUCGCUCAACGGAUAAAAGCUACCCCGGGACUAACAGGCUUUAUCUCCCCCAAGAGUCCACAUCGACGGGAGGUUGCACUCGAUGUUCGGCUGGCAUCGCAUCCUGGGGCUGUUUAGUCGGUCCCAAGGCGUUGGUGUUCGCCCAUUUAAAGCGGUACGCGAGCUGGGUUCAGAACGUCGUGAGACAGUUCGGUCCUAUCCGUCGUGGGCGUAGGAAAUUUGGAGGAGCUGUCCUUUAGUACGAGAGGACGCGGGAUGGACGCACCGCUUGGUGUACCAUUUUCUGCCCAAGUGCAUGCUGGGUAGCUAUGUGCGAAGGAUAAGCUGCUGGAAGCAUCUAAGCAUGAAGCCCCCCUCAAGAUUGAGAUUUCCCAUAGCGUAGCUAGUAAGAUCCUGAAAGUUGAUCAGGUUGAUAGGUUCGAGUGGAAGCAUGGUGACAUGUGGAGCUGACGAAUACUAAUAGAUCCCGAGGACUUAACCAUAUA
rnacentral:rRNA from 1 species